rnacentral:rRNA from 1 species
UACGUAGGGAGGCGAGCGUUGGUCCGGAGUUACUGGGCGAAAGGGUGCGUGAGGCGGCCGCGCGCGUGGCGGGUGAAAUCUACCCGGGCUUACCCCGGGGAGGGGGCUUGCCAGACGGCGGCGGCUUGAGGGACGGAGAGGGGCGUGGGAAUUCCGGGUGGAGCGGUGAAAUGCGUAGAGAUCCGGAGGAACACCGACGGGCGUAGGCAGCGCCCUGGCCGUGGCAAUAACCCUGACGCUGAAGCACGAAAGCUGGGGGAGCGAACAGG